rnacentral:lncRNA from 1 species
CUUCCCUUCUCCGGGCACAGGGAAGCUCUGGAUGAAGUUGUGAUAAAGGUUAUUUCCCCAAAGCGAAAUUUCCAGGUUAAAAUUAAAGUUUUGAUUGUACGCUACUGAAAUGCUGUAGAACCACCCAGCUUGGGCCCUGCACAAGAGGACUGGCUACUUGCCAAUCUAACUCCCAUUCAUAAGAGUGAUUUCACAGAUAACUCUGAUGACUGCCAAUGAUAAGUUGUAUUCUCAUCUAGUGAGUGGGUGUCUCGCUAAGAAAGCAGCAUCACCGAACAAAGAAGCAAGCUUAACCUAUCCAGAGAAAAGUAACACCGCGUCUAUAAAAAGGGAAGCACAGCUCACUAGUUCUCCAGAGUGAGCAAGACUGUACUUAGACAAAGAAGCUUUGACAAAAUUAUACAUUGAAG